UGCCAUGGCCUCUCACAGUG
rnacentral:misc_RNA from 1 species